rnacentral:lncRNA from 1 species
ACUUUAUCCACGCUAGAGAGGACACUUGGAAGCUCUUUCAGCAAACUGGAUUACACUAAAAACAGUUUUCUGUGGAUUAAAUGUUGCCAUAAUUCAUUGGAUUAACGAUCACUGAAGGAGCUGAAGGAGGGAGUCAUGAGGGUCAUCUGCUCCUCUCUGGUGCUUCUCACCAUCUGCUUGGGUCACGGGGGUCAACUGGCAUCAGUUGAAGGUGUCAGCUGCCCGUCCGUACAGGUAGAAGAAUGGAAGUUUCCUCAAACUGCCAGACACAACAUUACAGGUUUCAAUCUGGUGCGCCGUUUCUCCCUGUUGAAGAACAGCGAGGUCAAGAAGAUCCGAAACCCGAGAGGGCCUGUCAUCCUUCGCCUUGGGAAAGUACAACUCAUCCAACCUACAGAGUAAAUUUUUUAUAUUUUCUCUUUUGUUUGUCCUGGUAUCUAUUUUUCCUGAGAGAUUCUAAGAGGGUCAAUUAUAGAAAUAACUAAAUUUUCACUCUCUCAGACGAUGGAGCCUGUUCAUUCUGUAUCUAAAAGCAAUAAAACAUAAAGUACAAUAAGACAAAAUUGCAAAACUACCAAGGUAUUCUAGCAGGUCAGUACAAGCCUCGAAUUCCUGGCCGUUGACUGUUAUUUGGUAGAACAUUUACACUAACAUCAUGAAAGAAUCGC